CGACGCGAUCGCCAAGGUGAUUGUCAUUCGGUCGAGCAGCCACUCACGUCACAAUCAUUAAUCGAGAUAAAUAAAGUUGAAGAAAGCGAGCAAUGGGGUGCAGCGCUUCCAAGAGCAAGGAGGUCAGGCGUAGCGGGAAGCCAGGGGCUUCGGCCGCUACCGCCAGCAGCCCUAUUGGCGCGAGUGCCAACGGCGCCCGCGCUCAAAAGCCCACUGCUGAAACAGCGCCUGCGCCCCCUGCGCAGCCCAACCAAAAUGGUACCACGUUGCCAGCGAACAAGUCGCCUAGCAGCCACUCAGUGGAGGCCCCAUCUGGUCGUGCGGCCGACGCUAACCAUGACAACAAAAGCACCAACGUGGAUUCGACUGAGGCGCCCGACAAGGGCCCGCGUCAAAACGGCGCUGGAUUGGGCAACGGCGAUGUGGACGAGAACGGCAACGCUGUUUUGUUGCCAAAGGGCGUCUGGGUCAAGACGGAGGGAACACCCUACUACUACUGCCUCGAGGAGAACCUAUACUUCCACCCGCCUAGCUGCCAAUUCUACGACCCCACAAACGAGAUGUGGUACGACCCGGAUAAGGAUGAGUGGUACCGCGACGAUGGCUCGGAUGCCGAGGCUGCUUAGGCGUGCGCGGUGACCUUUUUUUUUUCGUUCGACAAGGUAAAUCGAGAAGAAUACGAACUAGUAGACUGUAGCUGAUGUGUAUGUGUGUGUGUGCAACGAUGAGCAAGCUUGUAGGGACACUGCAAGGACACGGCUGUGUGUGUGUAUGCAUGAAAAGCACGGCCAUCAGUAAGAGAUGGAAGAACGCUUGCUUCUGUGAACUUCUCCCAGAAGUCUGGCGCUGCGACAACAGCAAAGGGAAGGCGGUCUCUCGCACCGGAAAGCGGCGUGCGAAGAAGUCUGCGUGGCGUGGGCGCGUGUAUCGAAAGUAAGCGAAGACUCUCUCCUUUUGCCUGGAGGGCUCACUUGGGUGGAGAGAACAGGCAACCAGAAAAAGGGAUGGAAAACGCCGUCUGCCCCCUGAGGCCGUUCCCUGCUCCACUCACCCACCACCACUCCUCCCCCUCCAUGUCACCAUGGGUGUUUGGCGAAGCACGGAGGUAGGAUGGAAGGACCCAAAAGAGCACUGCCUCACCUCCUCAUGACAUCCUUCCUUCCUCCCUCUCAAAGAGAAAGUGAGGCGGCUGUUCUUCUCGCUGCUCUUGCAGAGUCAGAGGCUCAUUUCUUUUUUUUUGCAUUCACUUUAUGGGCGCUUUUCUUUCCGUGUACAUGCUCGUCGCCACCUCGAUCUGACUUGAUCCUUGCACUAAGCCAGACGAGCGCGCGCCCUGCUGUAUCGGCGUUGGUCAUUUUUCGUGCAUCAAGUGCUCCGUAGCUACACAUAUCGCUCAUCAGCAUCCUUUGUCUCCUCGCUUAGUCGUCCUCUCUGGUAUUUUUUUUUGGCGUCUUUCUCUCCGUGUCUCGGUAGCUUGAAGAAUAAAGUGCAGUGCGUACGGGUACUUAUUCGUGUUGGUGUGUCGGUGUAGCUGCCGCCAUGCGCCUUGCUGUUGACGUUCAUGGCUCACCUCCACACCCUUACAUUGUACCCGCACAGUUACUGUCAGCGUGUCUGUUUCUGCGCGUGAGGGGGCAUGUAUGCCGCUCAGUGUCUUUGUCUAUGAAUGUACUAGAACUCCUUUUUCUUCCCUCCCCUCCCCUCUCCCGGUUCGAGUGUCGAUUGAGGCAAGUGCCGCGGAUGUGCACGCGCAACUACACAUGAUAUAUAUAUAUAUUAUACAUAUAUAUAUACAUAUAUACACAUAUAUAUAUAACGUAUCUCCGCCCUUUAUGUAUAUGAGCGGGAACGAAAGAGAAGGAAAAGCACGGCUAUCAAACAGCGCAGGGGACGUGCACGCAGAAACAGAACAGAGAAGAAAUGAAAAAGGGAGAACAAGGUGACAAGAAGGAGCCAGCAAUGGGAAAGAACACGGUUUUAUAAAGUUCAACACGCAGGCACGCCCACGAAUAGAAGUGUUCACGCGAAGAAGAAACCGACAACACCCAGACAGGUGGAUGCGCAUAUCUCCUCUCUAGUCGGUGGGCUCGUGUACAGAUGUGCGUGUGCGUGUCGUCGCCCACACACACACAGAUACCGCUCCCCCUUCUAGUUCUUUUUCUUCGUCAUUUCACUCUGUUUCAUUUUUUUUCGUUUUUUAUUUGUUGCUGGCUGGUUUGGCUGUUAUCAGUCUCUGUUCUCUUCCCUCUUCCGAUGUUUCGUCACGGUCGUGGUGGUUGUGGUGAUGGCGUCGCCGUCGGUGUCGAUUGACGCGCAUAUUCAGGUUUGCCGCCGUCUUUUGUGUAUGUCUGUUUUGUUUUGUUUUCUUGCUCCCCGUCUUUUGUAUUUAUUCUGGGUGUGUGGCGUGGCCCCCCCCCCCUACCCACCCGCCCCCACACCUUCUGUUCCUCUCGUUUCAUUUUUUUUUUUGCUUUGUUGUUGGUUGGCUGGUUUCGCUCCUGCUCUCUUGGUCCAAGACAAGCUGGCAGAGGGAGGGAGGGAGGGAGGGAGAGAGCCGGGAGGACAGAAGAGAGGGCAGGAAAGCAAAUCGAAAGCGUGCAAGGCGACCGGAGGAUAACGGAGAAACAAAUCCACAUCCCACCACACCUACAAGCACACACGCGCGCGCGCGAACAGCCGCCAACAAAAAAAAGCAGACGUCUAUGCACAGCAGGGGUGGCACGCGGACUUUUUUGUGUGUAGCCAUUAUCCUUCUUGUAGCGCCACCUGGUGCUCUGCUGUAUCUCAGAAGUCGGUGAUACGCGUGUGCGCGGAGGAGCGAGCGAAAGUAGCAAGAGGAAGGAGACCGUGUGGCGGAGAAGGGGGAGGUGUUGUUGCGGUGCGGGUAGUCACCUGCGCAUCGGAAAGGAAGACACUUUGCAGGUACUCCUGCUCCCACUCAUAUCACAUCCCCCACCUCAACUGUUCGGUGUCACGCCACAUUCACGCACACAAGUGCAUGCGUUCACCGACAACCCCUUCGCGCCUGCCACGUUUUUUUUUUCUUUAUUCCCUGUCUUGCUCUCUCCCUUUCCACUAGUCUACUCGUUCGUUAUCUCUCAACAAGUUUGUUCUGUGUGUGUGUGUGUGUGUUUACUUUUAUGUUGAGCUCUCGUGGUGCGCUUCUUGGAGGGUUGGACUUGAAUGAUGUGUGAUUCUCUGUGUCGCAUUGGCGUUUGUGCCUGGUAGUGGUGUGGCGAGCGCUGCGCUCGUGCCGUUCGAUGUUGUUUUUGUCGUUGUUUUGUUUUGUUUUUGGCCCCUCUCUCCCUCUUCAUCUUCUUUGGUUGUGUCCUUUCCAGUUGUUGGUUUCCUGUACGAAGGUUUCUUUCAUUGCCCCACCCGCUGUCUUUGUGGGUUUUCGUGUGCUUUUUACCGUCCUCUGCGCUGCUCAUCUGUUUCCACUGCGCCCGCUGUUAUGAGUAUGUGGUGUGGGGUUUGGGGGGCGGCACAUUGGGUGCCCCGUCAUGCGAAUCAGAAGGAGAGGUGCGCGAAGGAAACAAAAGGAAAGCAGCAGCGCGCACAACGCAAAGCAGUCGAGCAUUUCAUGCCACGUCGCAGGGGUCGUAGCGAGUGGGUGUCCCUGAAGCACAACUGCAAAGAACUUUCAAAAAAAAAUUAAUGCGGAGCAAACGUACUCACAACGAACAGGCGGAACGUCCGGCUCACCUUCGCGCACGAUGUGGAGUGGGCGAGAACGAUGAUGAUGGUGCGCUGGGGCGAUUAGGGCAAGCUCACAUGGGUCGCA
rnacentral:misc_RNA from 1 species